UUCUUAUUGGAUUAUGGCGUGUCAUGUUCUAAUUAGUCAAUGAAAAUAAUAAUGCAUUUCAUCUUUCAUUGAGUUAACAUCCAAUCAGAACAGGACACACGUGACAGUCAUCAUUU
rfam:Glycine soja cultivar W05 scaffold2503_3, whole genome shotgun sequence.